UACGAAGGGGGCUAGCGUUGUUCGGAUUUACUGGGCGUAAAGCGCACGUAGGCGGGUCGUUAAGUCAGGGGUGAAAUCCCGGAGCUCAACUCCGGAACUGCCUUUGAUACUGGCGACCUUGAGGCUGGAAGAGGUUAGUGGAAUUCCCAGUGUAGAGGUGAAAUUCGUAGAUAUUGGGAAGAACACCAGUGGCGAAGGCGGCUCACUGGACCGGUACUGACGCUGAGGCGCGAAAGCGUGGGGAGCAAACAGG
rnacentral:rRNA from 1 species